GGCACUGUAGCUCAGUUGGUAGAGCACCUGCUUAACAUGUGCGCCCGCGGCGCGAGUUGCUCGCAGGUUGUCGUCGGUUCGAGCCCGGCCAGAGUCA
rfam:Puccinia sorghi strain RO10H11247 Scaffold_2233, whole genome shotgun sequence.